rnacentral:rRNA from 1 species
CCUACGGGGGGCUGCAGUGGGGAAUAUUGCACAAUGGGGGAAACCCUGAUGCAGCAACGCCGCGUGAAGGAAGACGGUUUUCGGAUUGUAAACUUCUAUCAAUAGGGAAGAAAGAAAUGACGGUACCUGAAUAAGAAGCCCCGGCUAACUACGUGCCAGCAGCCGCGGUAAUACGUAGGGGGCAAGCGUUAUCCGGAAUUACUGGGUGUAAACGGUGAGUAGGCGGCAUGGUAAGCCAGAUGUGAAAGCCUUGGGCUUAACCCGAGGAUUGCAUUUGGAACUAUCAAGCUAGAGUACAGGAGAGGAAAGCGGAAUUCCUAGUGUAGCGGUGAAAUGCGUAGAUAUUAGGAAGAACACCAGUGGCGAAGGCGGCUUUCUGGACUGAAACUGACGCUGAGGCACGAAAGCGUGGGGAGCGAACAGGAUUAGAUACCCUUGUAGUC